GAAUCAUACACUUUAUGUACUACAUGCAGGUUUCUCAGAUAGAUCUAGGCCUUGUGGUCUGCAAUUCUUUAAGUAUUAUGGGCUGUUGGGAAAAUUACAAAAAAACAGAGUAGACAGUUUCUAAAAAUAAUUGGAUUGCAUUUCAAUACUGUUUAGGACUUAGUGAAGCGAAUGACCAGGAGCUUUGCUCAGCUAUUUUUAGGGAUUUUCCAGUAACCAGCUUCAAAUUGCUGAAGGUAGUUUUUGGUUUAAAAUUCUGCUAUGGACAUAAUUUUUUUGCAUAAUUCUGUUCCUUAUUUUGACUAACCAAAAGGCAGCUGAAAGGUAUUAGUAUGACUGCUGCUCUUCCAGCAAUGCCCUGCAAUCUCUUGGCGUUGGGUUAUGUGCACAAGCAUAAGAAAAGAAGUUCCCAUCUCUAGACAUACUACCACACAAUUUACAAUAGCCAUUACAAGUGGGUAAUGUGCAAAAAAAGGGAAGUAAGUUAUGGGAAAUGUGGUUUCAUUGGCUUUGCAGGGCUGAGAGUUUCCACGUUAUGCAACUUAUUUAUUUUCUGGCCAGAAAGAUAUAAAAUUUCAAGGCCAAGCACCAGGGCAGCUGUCCAGCAGAGAGUGCAAACAGCUUCUCCUGGUUGUUCUUCAACCAGCAGAGUUCAGAGACAUGAAAAACCAGCAGCACCCUUCGCUGCCCAAGAGCGGCUCCCAUGUAUUCCUGUAGCAGAGUAUCUCCAAUUUACCUUGGGCCUUUCACCCACCUAUAGAAAGAGACAGGAUUUAUCCUGUUUGUAUAGAGAGACAUACCCUAGAGUUGUGGCACCUAUGAAGAGACUAGGAAAGCCUGUGCAGCUGUGUUUUGAUUACUGGAAAGGUUUCCUGGCAUCCAAGAACUGAAAUCACCUUUUGGUACAGUGCCAGUGGCAAGGUUAAAAUACCUGAUUUAGGCCAUUAUGACAGAGUGAAGUCCAUGUAAAGCAGCACAGUCUACCUCAAAGGGAAUCCACUGACUCACCUUACUGUGCAUCUGCAUGAAUAAGGAGGAAGAAUCAGGUUCUCACCCACCCACAUAAAAUCACCAUUAAAAUGCCCUAACUGAGAUCUUCUUGGUGGAUGAUGACCAGUGUUACACACAAAGCUUCCGGGCAUCCUGAAAUCAUAAGAUCUACAGGCAAACAGGACUACUGUAGCACUGAGGCAGCUUUGUCCUUUGUCCUCACCCACGUGGCUACACCACUGAUAAUUUGCCUACAAAGAUGAGGACUCAGAUUGGCAGUCAAAGGGGAGCUGACACUUGGAUUUUCCCAAACUCUUUGACCUACCAAAAUCUGGUGCCAGGUUUACAGCUAAUAUUUACUGAAUACAGUGUAAACACCCGCAAUAUAGUUUGUCAUAAAAUGAAAGUCUAUUAAAUUAAUUUCUGAUUUUCUGGCAUAGUUGUCUUUAGCUUUACAACAUGCAUGUUUCCAAGCAGUAUUUCAUAAUGUCAUCUUUCCAGACUGAAAUUCGUGUAAUCUUGUAGAUAUAUGCCAAUGCUUCAAGCACAGAAUCCUGCGUUCCCUGUAGAGAUACAUAGCUCCUUUAAGCAGAUACACUUCCAGUGCUAAUAUACUUAUGUAUAUUUCUUCCAGAUUAAAUUCUGUCUGUUUCUAGACAUACCAGUUAUCACUUUGAUUGAUUUUAUGAGAAUGACAAUAAGGAAGCUGAAUAAUAAGAUAUGCAAAGUAUAUUCUACAGUUCAUUUCUGAAAGAAGAGUCAAUCCCAGGAGAGCUUUCUUUAGUGUGUUACUGGUUACAGUUAUUGCAAAAAUGAUGGUGUGGUAUUGUAAUAACAAAUAAUUGUA